rnacentral:rRNA from 1 species
ACGUUCCCGGGCCUUGUACACACCGCCCGUCACACCACGAGAGUUUGUAACACCCGAAGUCGGUGAGGUAACCUUUUAGGAGCCAGCCGCCUAAGGUGGGAUAGAUGAUUGGGGUGAAGUCGUAACAAGGUAGCCGUAUCGGAAGGUGCGGCUGGAUCACCUCCUUUCUAAGGA